rnacentral:rRNA from 1 species
GAGUUUGAAUCUGGCUCAGGAUGAACGCUGGCGGCGUGCCUAAUACAUGCAAGUCGAACGAGUUCUCGUUGAUGAUCGGUGCUUGCACCGAGAUUCAACAUGGAACGAGUGGCGGACGGGUGAGUAACACGUGGGUAACCUGCCCUUAAGUGGGGGAUAACAUUUGGAAACAGAUGCUAAUACCGCAUAGAUCCAAGAACCGCAUGGUUCUUGGCUGAAAGAUGGCGUAAGCUAUCGCUUUUGGAUGGACCCGCGGCGUAUUAGCUAGUUGGUGAGGUAAUGGCUCACCAAGGCGAUGAUACGUAGCCGAACUGAGAGGUUGAUCGGCCACAUUGGGACUGAGACACGGCCCAAACUCCUACGGGAGGCAGCAGUAGGGAAUCUUCCACAAUGGACGCAAGUCUGAUGGAGCAACGCCGCGUGAGUGAAGAAGGCUUUCGGGUCGUAAAACUCUGUUGUUGGAGAAGAAUGGUCGGCAGAGUAACUGUUGUCGGCGUGACGGUAUCCAACCAGAAAGCCACGGCUAACUACGUGCCAGCAGCCGCGGUAAUACGUAGGUGGCAAGCGUUAUCCGGAUUUAUUGGGCGUAAAGCGAGCGCAGGCGGUUUUUUAAGUCUGAUGUGAAAGCCCUCGGCUUAACCGAGGAAGCGCAUCGGAAACUGGGAAACUUGAGUGCAGAAGAGGACAGUGGAACUCCAUGUGUAGCGGUGAAAUGCGUAGAUAUAUGGAAGAACACCAGUGGCGAAGGCGGCUGUCUGGUCUGUAACUGACGCUGAGGCUCGAAAGCAUGGGUAGCGAACAGGAUUAGAUAC